AACGCACAUUGCGCCCUCUGGUAUUCCGGAGGGCAUGCCUGUUCGAGCGUCAUUAUCAACCCUCAAGCCCCCGGCUUGGUGUUGGAGGCCCGGCUGGAUGCUUUAAGCCCGGCCGCUCCGAAAGAUAACGACGGCGUCGCAGGGUCCCUGGUACAAUGAGCUUUCCAAAGCACGUACCGUGGCGGCCCUCGGGCGCUGGUCCAACUUUUAUUUCUAAGGUUGACCUCGGAUCAGGUAGGGAUACCCGCUGAACUUAA
rnacentral:misc_RNA from 1 species